rnacentral:rRNA from 1 species
UACAGCGGUCCCAAGCGUUGUUCGGAUUCAUUGGGCGUAAAGGGUGCGUAGGCGGCGCGGUAAGUCGGGUGUGAAAUCUCGGGGCUUAACUCCGAAACUGCAUUCGAUACUGCCGUGCUUGAGGACUGGAGAGGAGACUGGAAUUUACGGUGUAGCGGUGAAAUGCGUAGAUAUCGAGAGGAACACCUGCGGCGAAGGCGGGUUGCUGGGCCGACACUGACGCUGAUGCGCGAAAGCCAGGGGAGCGAACGGG